rnacentral:lncRNA from 1 species
GUGCCAAUCACAUCUUCUUUGCUUCCAAGCUUUGGGAAAUUGCAGAUCUGCUGGAGCCUCUGAUUCAUUUUCCAUGGGAUGUGAUUGUUCUGAAAUUCCAAUUUCUCUCACGAUUCUCUUCAAAUCGUCAAAGUAAACUGAUUUCCCAUCUUUCAUGUCAAUAAAAAAUGAAAGCUUGACUUCCAGAGUUUUGGAACGCCUUAAAAUUCAGCUCUCUCAAUGAGUGUCCAGUAGUGAUGAACUGAAUCUGCCACUAGAUGUCACCGAGUUUUCAAACAAAUGGCUUUAAAGAACAUUUCAAGGAAAGUUGGCUUGAGACCUAAGAUGUCUGUGCUGUUUUCCGUGGCAUCCAUAGAGUAGGUAAUGUAGUGAUCAUUCAUCUUAGCACAUUUGCUGUAUUUA